CCCCAGUGACCUGGGAGGAAAGGGAUUUAUACGACAGUGAUUUUACACCCUGUCUACACAGGUGAUUUCUUGGAAGUGCACAAAGUGGAGGGCAGCACCCAGCUGUGCUGAAUCUGAACCUCCUUCCAUCAUUGGGUUGAGAAAGCCAUGCAAUGAGAGGCACUGCACAGCCAGGACUCAGAAGCUGUGGUCUGCACCUAGCACAGGAUGGCUGAGGGGAUUCCAAAGGCUGGAAGAACGGGUGUAUGUGAGGAAAAGCCUGUCCAAUGAUAAUGGGCAUAGCUCCAUAUGCUCUGGAUCUGAGAAGUCAUCUUUCUUCUUGUGAAACAUAAAAAUCUUCAUGUCUAAAAAGGCCUCCAAACCCAGUGGUGGCGUGCUGAGUGCUUUCAUUUUCUUCUCCUCCUUCUCAGUUCCUCUGAGAUAGAAAACUCUGAGAGCAUUUCAAGGGUGAAGUAAAAGAAAGUAUAAACCAGGAUAGGCUUAGUAUGCUGCAGUAACAAGUAGUCCCAGACUCUCAGUGGCUUAUUACAACAAAGGGUUAUUUCUUGCUCUGGUUACAUAUGGCUCAAGGUCAGGUGGGAGCUCUGCUCCAUUCUGUUCUCUCUUCAGGACUUGGGCUAAAGACCAGUCACUGAAGGGAACAUGGCAUCAUUUUGAAAAGGGAAUGCUGAGCAUGUGGAGCCCAGACAAUUAAAUGCUCCCACGUGGAGGUGACCAUACAUUGGUCUGAAUGAGUCAUAUAGCCCCUCCCUCAGCAUCCCACCAAGAGGUCAAGAAGUUAGGUCUUUUGUGUGCCCAGAAUCAGAGGAGAGCUGGCUAGAGUUGAGCAGAACUACUAGCUACCACAGAGAUUCAAAUGUCAAAACUAUGUUCGAAUUUCAGACACCUGCCUAAGAAAGUAAAAAUACCUGAUAAAAAAAAUUGUGGCCAUCCCAAGUAAAUAUGUCAAAGAAAGACCUCUCACCCCAAAGCUAUGCUGAAAAAUUACUCAGAUGUUAGCCUCUUAAGAGAAAUUUCUUUUCCAAAAUUUAUGAGAUUGGGUAAAACAGCCAUUGCCAAUGGCUUGUUCUUUGGCUAAGAGCUGAAUUCUUCU
rnacentral:lncRNA from 1 species